rnacentral:rRNA from 1 species
CCUACGGGUGGCAGCAGUGGGGAAUAUUGCACAAUGGGGGAAACCCUGAUGCAGCCACGCCGCGUGAGUGAUGACGGCCCUCGGGUUGUUAAGCUCCUUCUUCAGGGACGAAAAUGACGGUACCUGUGGAGGAAGCCACGGCUAACCACGUGCCAGCAGCCGCGGUAAUACGGAGGUGGCGAGCGUUGUCCGGAUUUACUGGGCGUAAAGGGAGCGUAGGCGGACUUUUAAGUGAGAUGUGAAAUAGUCGGGCUCAACUUGAGUGCUGCAUUUCAAACUGGAAGUCUAGAGUGCAGGAGAGGAAAAUGGAAUGCCUAGUGUAGCGGUGAAAUGCGUAGAGAUUAGGAAGAACACCAGUGGCGAAGGCGAUUCUCUGGACUGUAACUGACGCUGAGGCUCGAAAGCGUGGGGAGCAAACAGGAUUAGAUACCCCUGUAGUC